UCAGAGGGGGUCACAUGUGCAAAGCACUUAGGACAGCUCUAGGCACACAGAAGACAGGCAAUAAACACAACAGCAAGUCACGCCCAAGGACCUCUGCGGCUCUCCAGUGGCACAAGUCUGGACUCCACCUAUGGGUCUUUAUGUCCUUCCUUCUCCUAGACUUUCGUCAUGCUGCUGUUUGGUGUGAAAGGGAUUUACUUGACUGAAUUAGCCUGGGAACAGAACCUGCAAAGGCAGCCCGCAGCUUCUAGCACCAGAACAUCUCUUUUAAGCUCUCUAGUGUGCACAGCCCUGCCUUGAAAACCCCAUGGAGAAGGGAGUCUAGGCCUCAAAGAUCCUGAUGCCAAAUGUCAGUGGUGCCGCCUGAUACUCGCAGAUCCAUGCAAGUCCAGCCACAGGGCCUUGUCACUCCGCUGCCAACUCCCUGGGCUUCUGCCUCAGUGUCUGCUGUGAAAGGGGUGACACCUUGUGCUAGAGGAACACCCCAGGGUGCCACUGCUCUUCAGACUGUGUGCAGGGCAGACCCUGGCACAGCCUGGAGCCUCAGCUGGAGUCCCAUGGAGGGACAGGUGCGUCCGAACCCCUCUGUUGGCGGUGGCCAUGUAUCUGUUCCUAUGUCUAGUCUAAUUUACAUCUGUACAAAUAUCUGUAUUGGAUUUAUCUCUACAUCUAAUCUAUAAGGAAUCCACACCCACCCACGCUGGAUCAAUAUCUGCAUCAAGUCUAUGUUUAUAUCUUUUUGUUAUCAGUAACUUAGCAACACGGUGCUGAGGAAGACUGGUUUCAUCUGUAACCUGGCUAGGGGCCAGGCUGUACCAAUGACUAUAUUAAAGGGAAAUUUGGUUGCUCUGGGCUUUAGUUGACCCAUCUGUAAAAUGGGGCUGGGAUUAGUACCUGUUUCAUGGAGUUAUGUUUCCUGACAAAUGAAAUCUAAACUGCCAGGUUCAAAUCCUGCUCCAUUUGCCACCUGUUGUACACGUAACUGAUACUCGUCAUGCCUUGGGUUCCCACCUGUCAAAUGAGGACGGCAAUGACACAUUCCAUAUGGGACAGCAGUUCCUCAUCAGGAAACUGAGAAUGGAAAGAGCAGCGAUGUAAUUGGGGCACCUGAGAAUUCAAUGGGAAAAGCCAAGUCGUGGUCACCUGGUUCCUGGGUAACCAACCUCUGGACCAAAGAAGACUCACCACUUAAAUCCCAGGACAAAUCCCUUCUCAGCUUUGCAUAGGGAUAUUUGAUCAUCUAGGGAGCAUCUCUAGAAGCUGGCCAGACAGAGUUGAUAAGCCCUGGAUCGACGUGAUCUCAUCCACCUUCAAGACUGAGGACACCCAGAUAAAAGGUUUACAGGGACAUUCAACUAUGCGCAGAAGUCUCCAGCCAUUAUCCUAAACCUGUGAUCAUCUGGACUCCAGGAAAAGCAGAGCCCCACCUGACUGAAACCACCACUAACUGAGACAAUCCUUUCCUGGGAAUGGAACCAACCCUCAGCCAGGAUUCCAGAGCUAUGAAGCCAGGACUGAGAUAACAAUCACCUGGACCCCAGCGUGCCAACAGACCCUUCCUUCAAAGCUGGCCUCUCGCACUUGUGGGUGAGCCAGUCUGAACCCCUGUGUCAGACUCUACCUCCUCCACCUACUCCAGCUAAAGUCUUUUCCU